rnacentral:rRNA from 1 species
AUUGAACGCUGGCGGCAUGCCUUACACAUGCAAGUCGAACGGUAACGCGGGGAAACCUGGCGACGUGUGGCGAACGGGCGAGUAAUGCAUCGGAACGUGCGCAGUAGUGGGGGAUAGCCCGGCGACAACCGGAUUAAUUCCGCAUACGACCUACGGGUGAAGGCGGGGGACCGUAAGGCCUUCCGCUAUUGGAGCGGCCGAUGAGGGGUUAGGGGGUUGGGGGGGUAAAAGCCUACCAAGCCGACGAGCUGUAGCUGGUCUGAGAGGACGACCAGCCACACUGGGACUGAGACACGGCCCAGACUCCUACGGGAGGCAGCAGUGGGGAAUUUUGGGCAAUGGGGGCAACCCUGACGCAGCCAUGCCGCGUGAGGGAAGAAGGCCUUCGGGUUGUAAACCGCUUUUGUCAGGGAAGAAGCGCUCUAGGCUAAUACCCCGAGGGAAUGACGGUACCUGAAGAAGAAGCACCGGCUAACUCCGUGCCAGCCGCCGCCGUAAAAC